rnacentral:tRNA from 2 species
CUAACACACGACUUAUUGGGGUGGCAGAGCAUGGUAAAUUGCAAAAGGCCUAAAACCUUAUCCUCGAGAGUUCAAAUCCCUCCCUCAAUU